GGAUUGUGGCUUGGUGGUAGAGCACUUGCCUAGCACGUGUGAGGCCCUGGGUUCAAUUCUCAACACCA
rnacentral:tRNA from 1 species